AAGUACUUUGCUGAUUUUUGUUAUAAUGGUACUACUCUUAUCCUAAGCUGUGAGAUAACCAAAGAAAAUUAUGAACUUCAGUUGCCAAUCCGCGUAUAUGUACAAUCUAAAACUCAAAUAGUAAUUUUUCGGGCAAGUCCGAAAAUCAACUCCAAAGCGUCAUUGUUAGCGAGUCUUGAUUGUCGGAACCACUACUGAAUCGGAGUUUCAAAUAAUCUGGCAUUUUUAUCGUAUUUGAUGUUUGAAUAUUUUUUCGGGUUUAUGGUCACCACCACAGCAUGCAUGUAACGUUGGUUUCCAACUGGAAAGCUGGAGCUGAUAUAUCUGAAUAUUUUUAGGCUACAAGGGAGUCUACGGAUUCUUUUAAAAAUCGCUCGUACGCCAGAUGUAGAUUCUUACGGGUUUUAAAACCUCAAUUCAUGGAUCCGAUAUUUGAAUUAGAAAAUCUUCAGUCUAUACUAAUAUUAUUAAGAGGAAAGAUUUGAUACUUGACGGAUUUGAAAAAUUCUUUUACCGUUGCAAAACUACACUCGCUCCAGUUAACAUAGGCUAUAUUAUAUUUUCAAAAUCCCUAACUCAUUACUAAAACGCUAUUUAUGAAUAAUAGAACAAAAUAAUGUACUAUAAUUUUACAGAACAUAUAAUUAACAAAA